UCAUCUUUUUUUUUUUUUUUUUGGCAAGGAUGGUUGCCGCGGUUAUGGAAGGAGUGAGGAGCUUGCUUCAAAUCAGGAAAUGCCACGCAGGCUGAAAGUCAAAGAAACAAGCCCCGUGCUGACAGGUCUUGAAUGGGAACCUUGCUGGAUUUUUUUCUUCUUGGAUUAUUAUGCGUGUGGGACUUGGGGAACCAUGUGACUAUGCCACUGUACAGCAGGCAACCAGUUGAGCUUUUCCAACAUGCUAAAAACUGGGAGAAAAUAGUGGCGGACAGCAUGGAUCGUACCCUGCUUUGUUGAAUUUGGAGGGAGUUAGAAUUUAACACAUGAGUUCUGGGAGGACACAGUGCACCCACAGCACCUGCCCUAACUUAGUUUGAAGAUGGAGAGCGCACUGCUUCAUGUGGUCAGAUGCCAUCAAGACAGGAAAUCCUAGCUCACAGAGGCAUGCACAGCUGUUUGGGGGAAGAGGUGAGUUUUCCUUAAACUCCAUGUUCUCUGUGUCUUUCAAAUGACUUCAUGCUCAACAUGUUUGGGGUGGGAGUUUUAUUAAGAUACUGAUGUAGAUGCCCACUCACUAUGUAACUGGGCUCCAGAUUUCAGCUUCCUGCUAAUAUAGACCCUGGAAGGCAGCAAGGAUGGCUCAAGUAGUUGGAUUCCUUCCACUUCUGUGGGAUUGAGUUCCCGGCUCCUAGCUUCAGCCUGGCCUGGCCCUUGCCCUUGGGAGAGUGAACUAACAUGGAAGCUCUCUGUUUGACUUUCUCAAUAUUUUUGGAAAACAUUCAAGAGCACUUAGCCACACUGCUGCUGUCAAGGAAAUGCAGGCUGGUGGAGGCCACUGGAGCUGCUCAUUCUCUGUAGGGGAACAGCCUGCCUCGGUACUCUCUGUGGCCGGGCACCAGAUGUCAGCUCUCACAUUCAGAGCCUCCCACAGAAGCCAUUGACAUUUAUUUAGAAACUAAUUGUGCUGCGGUUUGGGACACGAAAUGGAAAAAAAAAAAAAAAAAGAUCAGCUCACAUUGCAAUCCAUCUUGGAAUGAAAUGGCUGUCGAGGCACCAGAAGAAAAUUGCUCCAUUAACUCAAAGGCAAGAGCUUCAAUUUGGAGGCCAGAAAGGCCAGAGCCACGAGAUGAGGGUCUCUGGAUUGCACAACCAUCACUGCAUUUUAACAGCAUAGCUCUCCUGGGAGUGCUCAGUCCCUGCCUU